rnacentral:rRNA from 1 species
AACGAACGCUGGCGGCAUGCCUAACACAUGCAAGUCGAACGAGACCUUCGGGUCUAGUGGCGCACGGGUGCGUAACGCGUGGGAACCUGCCCUUAGGUUCGGAAUAACUCCCCGAAAGGGGUGCUAAUACCGGAUAAUGUCUUCGGACCAAAGAUUUAUCGCCUUUGGAUGGGCCCGCGUUGGUUAGCUAGUUGGUAGGGUAAAAGCCUACCAAGGCGACGAUCCAUAGCUGGUCUGAGAGGAUGAUCAGCCACACUGGGACUGAGACACGGCCCAGACUCCUACGGGAGGCAGCAGUGGGGAAUAUUGGACAAUGGGCGAAAGCCUGAUCCAGCAAUGCCGCGUGAGUGAUGAAGGCCUUAGGGUUGUAAAGCUCUUUUACCCGGGAUGAUAAUGACAGUACCGGGAGAAUAAGCUCCGGCUAACUCCGUG